GGAAACGUCACACCAGGCGUUUGGCCAGCAACGAGUAAACAGACGGAGGACGUCGCAAGACCCCAACUUUUAGCUUCUCCAGUGAAAUGAUGUGAAUAACCAUGGCAUAAAUUUGCGUUGCGGGUGUAUUUUAUCUGCUUUACAGAGGUAGACAGUAACUAUACGCAGCACAGUCAGUAUAAGCCUUUGUAACGUAACGUGAGCAGUUGGGCGCCUGUGCUCGGUUAAGCUAAGCUAAGCUAGGCUAAGCUAUGUGCUAGCCGCGUCCACGGUUCAUGGUGCAGGCAGACGGCGGUGCGGGCUGGCCGAGACAUGGCUGCAGGAGCGGGCGCUGCUGGCGGUUCUCUGGAGUCCACGUUGGACAGGAAGUUUCAAAAUGUGUCCAACACGAUGGAUUCAAUCCAGGGACUGUCGUCGUGGUGCAUCGAGAACAAGAAGUACCACAGCCUGAUUGUUCGGCACUGGAUGAAAUGUUUGAGGAAAUCUGAUGCCUUACACAGGCUCAACUUGUUUUACCUCGCCAACGAUGUCAUUCAGAACUGUAAAAGGAAAAAUGCCAUUGUGUACCGCACGGCAUUCGCUGAGGUGCUGCCCGAUGCCUUCGUGUUGGUCAGCACCAACGCGAACUCCAAGGUGGUGAAGUCAGUAGAGAGGAUAUUGUCUAUCUGGGAGGACAGGGGUGUGUAUUCGGGGGCGCUCAUUGCUGAGCUCAGGGGUCACUUGCUGAAAGAGGAGUCCCCUCCUGAGACACCUGUGGAACAAAAAACUCCAGUUGAUUCUAAAGCAGCUCUCAAGUCCAGGAUCGUUGCUGAGUUUGUGCCUCAGGCGCUGAUAGAUCAGCUGUCCAAGUAUAAGAGCUCUCUAGAAGAGGUGGAUCUGAGAGAGAAGCAGCUGGCAGCCAUGAGGGUCGAUGUCUGCAGUUCUGACGCCCUCAAGAAACUCAAAGAUAAAGCAGGAGGAAAGAAGUUCUCCAAGGACUUCGAGGAAGGAAGUGCAAAGCUCCAGGACUUUGUUAAAUUCCUUGAACGGCAAAGCAAAGGAGGGCCUCCUCUCCUAGAAGCCCUCACUAAUGCAGAUAUCUUCUAUGAGAUGCAGUACCAGGAGGUCAAAAUCGUUGCUAAUGCCUACCAAACGUUUGCUAACCGGGUGUCCCACCUGAAGCGUAAGCUGGACAGCCUGAAGGCCACCUUACCUGACCUGGAUGAGUCGCCCAUUCCCUCACCCUCUGCAGACGCUCCCUCUCCAACAGGCUCAGAAUCCCCCUUCCACGACCUGGAACUGCCCAAACCUGAUCCGGAUCUGGACGGAUCCGCUAUGGACGAUGAGGCUGAGCCACCAGCCCCGAGCCCACUGUCCUCCCCUGGAGGAUCCCCCAAACCCGCCUUCGCUGUCGGGCAGAGUGACAAUCGUGAAGUGGAGGACAUGGAGCUCUCUGAGGAUGAAGCGGAGAGUGUGGUCAUCAUAGUUGAGGAGCAGGUUAAAGGCUCCACCAACACAGCAGUGUCCAGUGCAGUGCCUGAUAAAACAGAGUCGUCAGUAGCAAAAGAGCCGCCUGUCACACACACCCCGUCCUCCACGGCUGCCCCUCCAGCCAGCGUGCCCAGUGUUGACCUGAGUAAAAUUGGCUCCCUCCUCAACAGUUUAACUUCGGUUAUAAAGAACACAGGACCGGUUACGGAGACCCCUGCUUCAGAUGACAUCUCUGGCUCCUCGGUAAAGACCAUGCCACCUGCCCCCGCGGCCUCCCAAGAUACUAGCUCUUUAGUCAACCUCCUUUCCCAAGUGGACAUGACUCCUUCAGACCUCCUUGGUGCACUGUCCAAAGCCCAGGGCCAAGGCAGUAGCCUGCAGGGCCUCACCUCUCUUCUGAGUAGCCCAGCUGGAAAAGCCUCCUUAGACUCCUCCAGUACAGGCAAGAUUCCUCCUUCUCCCUCCUCCACACCUGCAUCAGCAGCAACCACCAAGAGCCUAUCUCUCUCCACUGUUACAUCUGUGCCUUCUCCACCCAUUUCUAAUGUAAGACACAACUCCAGCUCCCAAGCAGAGGCACCCCUCCCUACUCCCAGCUCAGCCUCUGCCCUGGUGCAGGCCCUACAUAGAGAUAUGGAAUUAACAACAGAUCCAGAACCCCCUUUAUCUAAUGACAGUUUGGAGUCUAAAAUCCACAACUUCCUGCAGGGGAACCCUGGUUUCAGUGCCUUCAACCUUGGUUUCUCAGCUGACCCAGUCCUUGGGGGUGAUAACCUCAGCCCAGUAACUGGCACAGAUACCCAGGAUGGGACCCCAGUGCGGGACGAAGGUGGGGGCACUCCCACUCAAGAUGAAAUAAUGGACAAGCCACAGGUGGAACCAUUGACUUCCAACAAAGGACAGCUGUCCACCACAGAAACAGCUGCAAAAUCAGUUUCUACCGCAUACCAGAAUAUCACUCAACGGGACCCUGACAGUUCUCAACAACAGGGCCACUACCAGCCAGGUGUGGCUCAGAAUGGGCAAGGCUACCAGCUGUACACACAUGGUAAUCAGGACCAGUCCACGCAUGGGAUUGCACCACCUCUUGCACACUACCCACAGAUUUCCACACAAAUGGCAAGGCCUGUGCCUGGGGAGGGAGCCCCAGGCAAUGCCAGUAGUAAUAAGACUGUUGAGGGCUUCCAGGCUGCGAAUGAAGGGGAUUGGUAUGGUAAAAAUUACCUAGAGGGGAGCACUCAGCAUCCCAGAGGCUACAAUGUGGCCACACCGGGAGGGGCUGGAGAAAACCAGACACCAGGACUACAUCCAUACCACAGAGACCAAGCUCAGCAACCUCAGGGGUUGGCCUCCCAGCACGGACCCCCUGCCUCCCUUGGUUUCUUUAAAAACAACCUCCCUCCUGUCCCCACAUUACCUCCCCCUCCCGACGGCUUCGAGGCUCCACCUUCCAUGACCACUACUAAGAUGGUAAACCCAGAGCAGCAGCCAAUGUCUAACCCAGAGACGGAGAAGUUGACAGGGGCCAGAGUGGACAAUAUCAGAGGUGGAAUGGUGAUUCAUGACCAUCAACACAAAUCUAUGUUCCAUCAUGAUGAUCCUGUGUAUAACCGUGACAAUCUGCACCGUCACCCUGAUGAUUUACAUCCUCACCCAGAUGACCCACGUUACCAGGAGGACCCUAGGCAUUACCGUGAUGCCCAGUUCCAUCAAGAUGACCCUUACCGUCGCCCAGAAGAACCGUACUACCAGUCAGCCAGUUCUCCAUAUCAGUACCACAGAGGGCAAGGGCGCCUCACUCCACCACUCUCUCCCUCAGAGGAUGCUGUUUACUAUGCCCACAACUACCCGCCACGCAGCCCAUCUCCUCCCCACUACGGUCCUAGAAGACCACUGCCACCUCAUCCUGAAAUUCGUCAUCCAGGCCCACGGCAUCCGUACCGGCCUCCACACCCACCACACCACCCACACCCGAGGGGACAUCCACGUGCACCACCAUUUCCUCCGUUCCAUGGCCCAGAUCCGCGGUUACGAGGUAAACGUCCAGGUCCGAGAGGAGGGGGCCCAGCUGGUCCAGUCUUCCCUCCUAAAAGACCUCAUCUGCCCCCAUGGUACUGACUCGGCAAGCAGCUUUGAGCUCUGCAAAACACUGUGGAUGCCAAGUGGCCCGGGUGUGACUUUUCAGACUGGUCAUUAGUUUGUCAGUCACAUCAGAUUGAGAUCUACAGUAUGCUGUGGGAAUGCACCGAUGAUAUAAAAAAGGAAAAUGUGGGUCGAUAAAAGCAGAGAUAUUGAGCUGGACUUAAUGAAGGUGGAGAUCAGAGGGCAAGAAAAAGAAGAUCAAGGAUCGGUGGGAUAAACAGUGGAAAUCAAGAUCUCUUCAUGAAAAACGGCACAGAAUAUGAAAGAAGGUUAGAAGGUGAGAAGACUGACGCGCUGAAGUAUGAAGACUGAAGAUUAAAGAAAAUAAGAGGGAGCCAGAGCCAUACUUUGAUGUGUCUGAUGUGAUGUGAACCUUUUCCACUUGUUAACUGAUGCAAGGGGCGAUGCUGUGUCCUCUUUUGAAAACCCACCAGUCCCAGUGAAGUGCCUUCACGGUUUGACAGGAGGGCUGCACUUCAUGGACCCACACAGGAGAGCAGAAAGGUUGAGACAUACCAGUGGGAGUAAGUACAGCAAGGAUGAUUAAACACAUCCAGUAUUAAGACAUAUGUAGUUGGUCUCUCUCUCUCUCUCUCUCUCUCUCUCUCUCUCUCUCUCUCUCUCUCUCUCUCUCUCUCUCUCUCUCUCUCUCUUUAACUCACACACACACACAAAUUGCUCACAUUGCUCAUAAUUACUUGAUAUUCCUAAAAUGGUUCAUGAAAUGUAGUUUUGUGCAAUUAAGUGUUCACUUGAUCAUUUCAAAAUAAAACAAGUUUUUGUUGUCUCUUGUUUACUUGUAUAUCGUUUACAUAGCUGUCUGACAACCACUUGUAACCAUUAUUUAUUUUAUUUUAUUUUUUAAUCCUGUCUAGAUCAAACUAAACAAGUACCCCAUGAUGACCUUUACUCCCUGCAGUCUUAGUCACUGGUCUUAUACUGUAUUUUUCUUUUGUAUUAUUUAUUUUGGGUAUUUACUAUAGGCUGGAUUAGUGGUCCAAGUCUCUUUCCUAUUCAAAUCAUAAUUUCCUCUUAUUAUGUGUAAGGGUCGUUAUAUUUCUAUACAUGUGUCACAUCGUGAUGCACUUAAAACACAGCAGCAACAUUAAUAAAAGCACCACUGCUAUGAUAUGUGGUCGCUCGUCA